AAUCGAAAAAAACCACUGCUUUUGGUGGAUACCUAAGGACUCAAAGAUGAUGAAGGGCGUGUUUACCUGCGAAAAUUUUUGGUGAGUUGGAAAAAAACUUUAAUCCAAAAGUUCCCUAAUGGAGCAAUCCUUAAAACUGCUGAAAAAAUUCAUAAAUCAGUAAGAAAAAACUUAGUGAACUGAAACAUCUUAUUAACUAAAGGAAAAGAAAGCAAACGCCAUUUCCUAAGUAGCGGCGAGCGAAAUGGAAAGAGUCAAAACUGACUUGAUCAGGGUAGUGGGACUUCAAAAAAAAAAUAAAUAAAAAACAUAAAAAACAGCUGAAACCUGUACCAAAGAUGGUGAAAGUCCAGUUUUAUUCGUUUUUUUGUAUUUUUUGUAUUUGUAGUAUCCCAAGUAGCUUGGGACACGUGGAAUCCCUUGUGAAUCGGCGAGGACCACCUCGUAAGACUAAAUACUCUUGAGUCACUGAUAGGGAAAAGUACCGUGAGGGAAAGGUGAAAGAGACCCCCUACCGGGGAGUGAAAUAGAUCAUGAAACCGAAAGCAAUCAAUCUGUGGGAGGAUUUCUGACCACAUGCCUGUUGAAGAAUGAGCCGGCGACUCAUGAUUUUUGGCUUGGUUAAAGUUAAUUUCUGUAGCCUAAGUGAAAACAAGUCUGAAUAAGGCGAAUUUCAUAUGAAUUCAUAUGAGUCAAAAAUUAUGGACCCGAACCCGAGUGAUCUAACCAUGACCAGGAAGAAUCUUGGGUAAAACUAAGUGGAUGUCCGAACCGACCGAUGUUGAAAAAUCGACGGAUGAGUUGUGGUUAGGGGUGAAAUGCCAAUCGAACUCGGAGCUAGCUGGUUCUCCCCGAAAUGCGUUGUGGCGCAGCAUUUAUGGAUGAUCUCUGAAGAGGUAGAGCACUGUUUCAGUGCGGGCCUGUCAAAAGGUACCAAAUUGUGGCAAACUCCAAAUUCUUCAGAUACCAUAACAUAAUCCAAAUCCAUAAAAAGUGAGACCCUGGGGGAUAAGCUCCAGGGUCGAGAGGGAAACAGCCCAGACCAUCAGUUAAGGCCCCUAAAUAAUGGCUAAGUGUUAAAGGAGGUUUCGAUGCUGAAACAACCAGAAGGUUCGCUUAGAAGCAGCUAUCCUUGAAAGAAUGCGUAAUAGCUCACUGGUUAUUUCUUGAUUCAAGAAUAAGCGUCGAUGCGCCGAAAAUGUCCGGGACUAAGCUUUUUGCCGAAACUAUGGCCCCAUUGAAGGGGGGUAGGGGAGCGUUCUGUUUUGAGGUGAAGGAUUUUUGAAAAAAAAUGAUAGAUCAAACAGAAGUGAGAAUGUCGGCUUGAGUAACGAAAACAUUAGUGAGAAUCUAAUGCCCCGAAAACCUAAGGUUUCCUCUUCAAGGCUCGUCCAGAGAGGGUUAGUCAGGACCUAAGAUUAGGCUGAAAAGCGUCAUCGAUGGGAAACAGGUCAAUAUUCCUGUACUUAAGUUUAAUAAAAAGACAAGGGACGAAGGCAACAAGUUCAAGCUCCCCAAAUGGUUCAGAGCGGAAAUGUUCGACAUAUAGUUCGAAAAAAAAGUCGAACUUUGGGCAGUUCACUGUUCCAGUAUGAAGACAUGAUACGUUAUUUAAUUUUUUAUUAGAUAAUUUGAAUUUUGUUAUACUUCCUAGAAAAGCUUGAGACUCUAUUAAUAAUUAAAAUAACCUGUACCGCAAACCGACACAGGUAGGUAAGUUGAGUAAACUCAGGGGCGCGAGAGAACUCUCUCUAAGGAACUCGGCAAAAUAGCCCCGUAACUUCGGGAGAAGGGGUGACUUUUUCUGAAAGAAAAAGUCCGCAGUGAACAAAUUCAUUGAACUUUUUAACAAAAAAAUAGGUCUCCGCAAAGUCGUAAGACAACGUAUGGGGGCUGACGCCUGCCCAGUGCCGGAAGGUUAAAGGAAUUGGUGAAAGCUGAUAACUGAAGCCCCGGUGAACGGCGGCCUUAACUCUGAAGGUCCUAAGGUAGCGAAAUUCCUUGUCAAGUAAGUUUUGACCCGCACGAAAGGCGUAAUCAAAUGAAUACUGUCUCAGAGAGAGACUCGGUGAAAUAGACAUAUCCGUGAAGAUGCGGAUUCACUUACAUCAGUACAAGAAGACCCCGUGAAGCUUGACUGUAUCUUGAUAUUGGUUUCCAGUUAUUUUUGUGCAGUCUAGGUGGGACCCUUCCCACUGCGAGGUGGACUAUGGGGCCAGUGAGAGACCACCCUUAAAUAACUAGGAAUCUUAAAGUGAUUCCUUGAAGCAGGACACUUGACAGUGUCUGGAGGGCAGUUUUUUUGGGGCGAAAAUCUCCCAAAAGGUAACGGAGAUUUGCAAAGGUUUCCUCAAACUGGACGGAAAUCAGUUGUUGAGUGUAAAGGCAAAAGGAAGCUUGACUGCAAGACUUAUAAGUCGAGCAGAGGCGAAAGCCGGCCUUAAUGAUCCGACGGUGAAGCCUACUGCGUCCUUGUGGAAGGGCCGUCGCGCAAAAGAUAAAAGUUACUCCGGGGAUAACAGGCUUAUCUUCCCCAAGAGUUCACAUCGACGGGAAGGUUUGGCACCUCGAUGUCGGCAAUUCGCAACCUGGGGCAGUAGGUUGUCCCAAGGGUUGGGCUGUUCGCCCAUUAAAGCGGAACUUGAGCUGGGUUCAGAACGUCGUGAGACAGUUUGGUCUAUAUACGAUGUAAGCGUUAGAAUAUUGAGAGGACUUUUCCAUAAUACGAGAGGACUUGGAAGAACGUACCCCUGGUGUACCAGUUCUUAUACCAAUAGGACCCGCUGGGUAGCUAUGUACGGAAAAGAGAACUGCUGAAAGCAUCUAAGUAGGAAACUUACCUCAAGAUGAAUAUUCUCCAUUAGACUCCGGUGAGAUGAACCGGUGAAUAGGUUUUAGGUCGAAGAUUUGUAAAAAUUGGAGCCAAGAAAUACUAAUGAUCAAUUGUUUUU
rnacentral:rRNA from 1 species